CCUACGGGAGGCAGCAGUGAGGAAUAUUGGUCAAUGGACGAGAGUCUGAACCAGCCAAGUAGCGUGAAGGAUGACUGCUCUAUGGGUUGUAAACUUCUUUUAUAUGGGAAUAAAACGUUUCACGUGUGGGAUUUUGUAUGUACCAUAUGAAUAAGGAUCGGCUAACUCCGUGCCAGCAGCCGCGGUAAUACGGAGGAUCCGAGCGUUAUCCGGAUUUAUUGGGUUUAAAGGGAGCGUAGGUGGAUUGUUAAGUCAGUUGUGAAAGUUUGCGGCUUAACCGUAAGAUUGCAGUUGAAACUGUCAGUCUUGAGAACAGUAGAGGUAGGCGGAAUGCGUGGUGUAGCGGUGAAAUGCUUAGAUAUCACUAAGAACACCGAUUGCGAAGGCAGUUCACUGGACUGCAACUGACACUGAGGCUCGAAAGUGUGGGUAGCAAACAGGAUUAGAUACCCUAGUAGUC
rnacentral:rRNA from 1 species